GUCCAGACUCCUACGGGAGGCAGCAGUGAGGAAUAUUGGUCAAUGGCCGAGAGGCUGAACCAGCCAAGUCGCGUGAGGGAUGACGGCCCUACGGGUUGUAAACCUCUUUUGCCGGGGAGCAAAGAGCGGGACGCGUCCCGCCUCGAGAGUACCCGGAGAAAAAGCAUCGGCUAACUCCGUGCCAGCAGCCGCGGUAAUACGGAGGAUGCGAGCGUUAUCCGGAUUUAUUGGGUUUAAAGGGUGCGUAGGCGGAUUUUUAAGUCAGCGGUAAAAUGUCCGGGCUCAACCCGGGCCGGCCGUUGAAACUGGGGAUCUUGAGUGGGCGAGAAGUAUGCGGAAUGCGUGGUGUAGCGGUGAAAUGCAUAGAUAUCACGCAGAACUCCGAUUGCGAAGGCAGCAUACCGGCGCCCGACUGACGCUGAGGCACGAAAGCGUGGGGAUCGAACAGGAUUAGAUACCCUCGUA
rnacentral:rRNA from 1 species